UACGUAGGGCGCAAGCGUUGUCCGGAAUUAUUGGGCGUAAAGAGCUCGUAGGCGGUCUGUCGCGUCUGCUGUGAAAUCCCGAGGCUCAACCUCGGGCUUGCAGUGGGUACGGGCAGACUAGAGUGCGGUAGGGGAGAAUGGAAUUCCUGGUGUAGCGGUGGAAUGCGCAGAUAUCAGGAGGAACACCGAUGGCGAAGGCAGUUCUCUGGCCGUAACUGACGCUGAGGAGCGAAAGCGUGGGAGCGAACAGGAUUAGAUACC
rnacentral:rRNA from 1 species